CCCUUAGAUGUCCUGGGCCGCACGCGCGCUACACUGACAUGUUCAACAAGCCUCCUAGUUCGACAGGAUUUGGGAAAUCUUUGAACGCAUGUCGUGAUAGGGAUAGAUCAUUGCAAUUAUUGAUCUUGAACGAGGAAUUCCUAGUAAACGCGAGUCAUCAGCUCGCAUUGAUUACGUCCCUGCCCUUUGUACACACCGCCCGUCGCACCUACCGAUUGAAUGUUUCGGUGAAGAUUCCGGAUAGGACUUUUUUGGUUUAUUUCAAUUUUGUCUUAAAAGCUAUCUAAACCUCAACAUUUAGAGGAAGGUGAAGUCGUAACA
rnacentral:rRNA from 1 species